GAGAGUGUGUACUUGCUCUGCUAGGAACUGUGCAAAAAGGGCAUCACAGACGCACAGGGGUCUAAUCUUUUGUUGUUUCCAUUUCCAAUGACAAGAAACAGCCAUGCAUUUUUUUCUGUCCAUGUUACCCAACUGGCUAUUUGUCUUAAAGUUUAUGUUUUAUAUGUCUUGUUUUCAAUGAAUUUAGAGUUUGUUGUGAUGUAAAUAAAAUCGUGUAGAUCCUGUUGUGGCACCAGAAGGCUAGUAACUGAUGGGAUUGUUCUGUGGGAUUAUCAUGUCAUUUCCUUGCCCUUUAGCAAGCUAUGUCUCAAAAACUAACCGCUUGUCAUUUCAAACUUGUUUCUGAAUUCCAAGGGUACUUCAUCACUUGCGUGUUUUGCAUUUACAGGGAAAUGUUCUUAUGAUACUUUGGAUGUUGCAUUGUGAGUUUAUCGAGAUUAUUUAUCUGGUGUGAAGUUGGGGGCUAAUCGGCAGUUUACCAUUUGGAGAGUUCCACAUCCAAACAAACUUUAUAACAUGGGACUGUACACAACCUGGAUGGUUACUUUCAGAUCCGUGCUAAAGAUGUGGUGACAUGAACAGGACUUGAUGUGACCAACGCAGUUUUUACUCAAAAGCUUGGUGUGAUCGUAACACAAAAUCAGCUGGAGGAGUUUUUUUCCCAGAUUCCUUAAUGUCUGGUAAUUCUCUUGUCUGCUGGACCUAGUAUAUGUAAAGCCUAUCUUUUCCAGCUGCAUUUUCCUUUCUCUUUGGUGCUUCUGAGAAUUGGGUUUCGCCUUAAAGAUUGUAGAGAGAAUUGCAUCUUUAACUUGAAUGACAAGUAAUUCAGGUC